AUGAGCCGGCCCCCGCCGACGGGGAAAAUGCCCGGCGCCCCUGAGGCCGCGCCGGGGGACGGGGCGGGCGCGAGCCGCCAGAGGAAGCUGGAGGCGCUGAUCCGAGACCCUCGCUCGCCCAUCAACGUGGAGAGCUUGCUGGAUGGCUUAAAUUCCUUGGUCCUUGACUUGGAUUUUCCUGCUUUGAGAAAAAAUAAAAAUAUAGAUAAUUUCUUAAAUAGAUAUGAGAAAAUUGUGAAAAAAAUCAGAGGCUUACAGAUGAAAGCAGAAGAUUAUGAUGUUGUAAAAGUUAUUGGCAGAGGUGCUUUUGGUGAAGUUCAGUUGGUUCGUCAUAAGGCAUCACAGAAGGUUUAUGCAAUGAAGCUUCUUAGUAAGUUUGAAAUGAUAAAAAGAUCAGAUUCUGCUUUUUUCUGGGAAGAAAGAGAUAUUAUGGCCUUUGCGAACAGUCCCUGGGUGGUUCAGCUCUUUUGUGCCUUUCAAGAUGACAGGUACCUGUACAUGGUGAUGGAAUACAUGCCAGGUGGAGACCUUGUAAACCUUAUGAGUAAUUAUGAUGUGCCUGAAAAAUGGGCCAAGUUUUACACUGCUGAAGUAGUGCUUGCACUGGAUGCAAUACACUCCAUGGGCUUAAUCCACAGGGACGUGAAGCCUGAUAACAUGCUCUUGGAUAAACAUGGACAUCUAAAAUUAGCAGAUUUUGGCACGUGUAUGAAAAUGGAUGAAACAGGCAUGGUGCAUUGCGAUACAGCAGUUGGAACUCCUGAUUACAUAUCACCUGAGGUUCUGAAAUCACAAGGUGGUGAUGGCUACUAUGGUCGAGAGUGUGAUUGGUGGUCUGUAGGUGUUUUCCUUUUUGAGAUGCUAGUGGGAGACACUCCAUUUUAUGCAGAUUCACUUGUAGGAACCUAUAGCAAAAUUAUGGAUCAUAAAAAUUCACUAUGUUUCCCUGAAGAUACAGAAAUUUCUAAGCAUGCAAAGAAUCUCAUCUGUGCCUUCUUAACAGACAGGGAGGUACGACUUGGAAGAAAUGGGGUAGAAGAAAUAAAACAGCAUCCUUUCUUUAAGAAUGAUCAGUGGAAUUGGGAAAACAUAAGAGAGACGGCAGCUCCAGUGGUGCCUGAGCUCAGCAGUGACAUAGACAGCAGCAACUUUGAUGACAUCGAGGACGACAAAGGAGAUGUAGAGACUUUUCCAAUCCCUAAAGCUUUUGUGGGAAAUCAGCUACCUUUUAUAGGAUUUACAUACUUUAGAGAAAAUUUGUUAUUAAGUGACUCUCCACCCUGUAGAGAAAACGAUGCAAUACAAACAAGGAAGAGUGAAGAAAGUCAGGAGAUUCAGAAAAAAUUGUAUGCAUUAGAAGAACACCUUAGCAGUGAGUUGCAAGCCAAGGAGGAGCUGGAACAGAAGUGCAAAUCUAUUAAUACUCGCCUAGAGAAAACGGCAAAGGAGCUAGAAGAAGAGAUUACCUUUAGGAAAAAUGUAGAGUCAGCACUGAGACAGCUGGAAAGAGAAAAGGCCCUUCUUCAGCAUAAAAAUGCAGAAUAUCAACGGAAAGCUGAUCAUGAAGCUGACAAGAAACGGAAUUUGGAAAAUGAUGUUAACAGCUUAAAAGAUCAACUUGAAGAUUUGAAGAAAAGGAACCAGAGCUCUCAGAUAUCCACUGAGAAAGUCAAUCAACUCCAGAAACAGCUGGAUGAAGCUAAUGCUCUGCUACGAACAGAGUCCGAUACUGCAGCACGGUUAAGAAAAACCCAGGCAGAAAGCUCCAAACAGAUUCAGCAGCUGGAGUCUAACAAUAGAGAUCUACAAGAUAAAAACUGCCUACUUGAGACUGCCAAGUUAAAGCUUGAAAAGGAAUUUAUCAAUCUUCAAUCAGCUCUAGAAUCUGAAAGGAGAGACCGGACCCAUGGAUCAGAGAUAAUUCAUGAUUUACAAGGUAGAAUAUCUGGGCUGGAAGAAGAUCUGAAGACUGGCAAAGCCUUGCUAGCAAAAGUAGAGCUGGAGAAGAGACAGCUGCAGGAGAAGCUUGCUGACCUAGAGAAGGAAAAGAGCAACAUGGAAAUAGAUAUGACAUACCAACUGAAAGUGAUACAGCAGAGUUUAGAGCAGGAAGAAGCUGAACACAAGACCACAAAAGCACGGCUGGCGGAUAAAAACAAGAUCUAUGAAUCCAUUGAAGAAGCUAAAUCAGAAGCCAUGAAAGAAAUGGAGAAGAAGCUAUUGGAAGAAAGGUCUUUAAAGCAGAAAGUGGAAAACCUACUCCUGGAAGCCGAGAAGAGAUGCUCUAUAUUGGACUGUGACCUCAAACAGUCCCAGCAGAAAUUAAACGAGCUGCUGAAGCAGAAAGAUGUGCUAAAUGAAGAUGUUAGAAAUUUGACAUUAAAGAUAGAGCAGGAAACUCAGAAGCGUUGCCUUAUGCAAAAUGACCUGAAGAUGCAGACUCAGCAAGUUAACACCCUGAAAAUGUCAGAAAAGCAGAUAAAGCAAGAAAAUAAUCAUCUCGUGGAAAUGAAAAUGAACUUGGAAAAGCAAAAUGCUGAACUUCGAAAAGAGCGGCAGGAUGCAGACGGGCAGAUGAAGGAACUGCAAGACCAGCUUGAAGCGGAACAGUAUUUCUCAACCCUUUAUAAAACACAAGUUAGAGAACUUAAGGAAGAAAGUGAAGAGAAGACUAAGCUGUGUAAAGAGUUACAGCAGAAGAAGCAGGACUUACAGGAUGAAAGAGACUCUUUGGCUGCCCAGCUGGAAAUCACCCUGACCAAAGCAGACUCUGAGCAGCUGGCUCGUUCCAUUGCUGAGGAACAAUAUUCUGAUUUGGAAAAAGAGAAAAUCAUGAAAGAGCUGGAGAUAAAAGAGAUGAUGGCUAGACACAAGCAAGAACUUACUGAAAAGGAUGCCACAAUUGCAUCUCUCGAAGAAACAAAUAGGACACUAACUAGUGAUGUUGCAAAUCUUGCAAACGAGAAAGAAGAACUAAACAACAAGCUGAAAGACACCCAAGAGCAACUCUCAAAGUUGAAAGAUGAAGAGAUCAGUGCAGCAGCUAUUAAAGCUCAGUUUGAGAAACAGCUGUUGACUGAAAGAACACUCAAGACUCAAGCUGUGAAUAAGUUGGCAGAGAUCAUGAAUCGAAAAGAACCUGUCAAGCGUGGUAGUGACACAGAUGUGCGAAGAAAAGAGAAAGAGAACAGAAAACUACAUAUGGAGCUUAAGUCUGAACGUGAAAAGUUGACACAACAGAUGAUCAAAUACCAGAAAGAACUGAAUGAAAUGCAGGCUCAAAUAGCUGAAGAAAGCCAGAUUCGAAUUGAACUCCAGAUGACUCUGGACAGUAAAGACAGUGACAUUGAACAGCUGCGUUCACAGCUGCAGGCCUUGCAUAUCGGUAUGGACAGCUCCAGUAUAGGCAGCGGACCAGGCGAUGUUGAGCCUGAUGAUGGAUUUCCAGAAUCAAGAUUAGAAGGAUGGUUGUCAUUGCCUGUGCGGAACAACACUAAAAAGUUUGGAUGGGUUAAAAAGUAUGUGAUUGUAAGCAGUAAGAAGAUUCUCUUCUAUGACAGCGAACAAGAUAAAGAGCAGUCUAACCCUUACAUGGUUCUAGAUAUAGACAAGCUGUUUCAUGUCCGACCCGUUACCCAGACAGAUGUAUACAGAGCAGAUGCUAAAGAAAUUCCAAGAAUAUUCCAGAUUCUGUAUGCCAAUGAAGGAGAAAGUAAGAAGGAACCAGAAUUUCCAGUGGAGCCUGUGGGAGAAAAAUCUAAUUAUAUUUGCCAUAAAGGACAUGAGUUUAUUCCUACUCUUUAUCACUUCCCAACUAACUGUGAGGCCUGUAUGAAGCCACUGUGGCACAUGUUUAAACCCCCUCCUGCUCUAGAGUGCCGUCGGUGCCACAUUAAAUGUCACAAAGAUCACAUGGACAAGAAGGAGGAGAUCAUAGCACCUUGCAAAGUUUAUUAUGACAUAUCAUCGGCAAAGAAUCUAUUGUUAUUAGCAAAUUCAACAGAAGAACAGCAGAAAUGGGUUAGUCGGUUGGUGAAAAAGAUACCUAAGAAACCUCCAGCUCCAGACCCUUUUGCCCGAUCAUCUCCUAGGACCUCAAUGAAAAUACAACAAAACCAGUCUAUCCGGCGACCCAGUCGACAGCUUGCUCCAAACAAACCAAGCUAACUGCCUUCUAUGAAAGCAGUUAUUUAGGUGAUCGUAUUCUUCCAGUCAGAAGACUGAAAUAUGAUGUCUCAAAACUUAACUAAAAAGCUGUAUUCUACUGAGAGACUGACACACACACACACACACACAAACACAUGUUUCCCCUGAAAUCAUUUUACAUCAUGGAGAAGUUUUCUGGGCUGUUUUGAAACAAGCCGAACAGCAGUGAUUGGUGAGUAAAGGUGUCAUGCAACUCUUCAAGACUUGCAAGCUCUUGGCAGUCACACUACAUUGCACAGAAAGGUUGAGAAGAGCUUAAAGAAAUCACAUUUUGGAUUCAACAGAGGGUUUCCACCGGCACAUCGGCCAAAAGAAUUUGGGAAUGGAUCCCACUACAGUGAUGCUGACUGCAUCUUUAAGAAGUGACCAUGAUGUUGUGUUUAUGUAUGUAUGUACAUAUGAGUUGAGCCUCAUAUAUAUACACACACACCACACAUAAAAGCACAUUGUACUGUAAUACUGCAAGAAGGUAUUUUUAACUUACCAUUUUAUUUUUUAUACACAUUAAUCAGAUAUCAUUACUUCAGUUGCAACUAUGCACUUGUAUAAAGCUAUACUGUUGGAAUUUAUAUCCUUCAUCCAUGUACCUGAUAGGAGAUGCAUGUUUGUGUAAACAGUUAACUGUAAUGAGAAGUUUGAAGUUAAUUAUUCCAGUUUCCUAAUGCCUGUGGUAGACAACUUUAUCCAUUUUUGAAUGCCUUAAUUUAAUUUCUUCCCUGCCCCCCAAAUCUCAGCCCUUUUCUAUAUUUAAGAAAAGAAAGAACAAGUGUUUACCAGCUCUUAGGCUGCAGCUCGCUUUGUGGGAAAAAUAGUGCACUCUUUUACACACAGUAGUUGUGUCAGUGUCAGCCUAUUUGGUCAUAGAAACAAUAACGGAUUACAUUGGAACUAACGUGUGUGAUGUACAUCUGUUAUUAUUUCAUCCCUUUUUACAGGCUUCAGCUAGUCUGUGACUACAAACUAUCUCCUUUGCUUUGAACUUGCUGGUUACCCCAGAUACAUUUUUAUUUAUGGUAAAGGCAGUUUUUCACAUUUUCAUUUAAGAUUCAAAAAUUGUCUUAAAUAUUAAGAAAACUAACAUGUAUUGUAUAUAUAUUUUAAUAUUUAAAUAUGAUCCUGAAACAAACAACUGUAUGGUGGUAUAUCAGCUUUGGUAUUUGGGAAGAGGCAGCCUCAAAAGCGCUCACUUUGAUUCUCAUUGUUAAAUGCUGCUGAGGUUAGAGAACAGGCAGGAUAGGUCCUGUUGUGCUGUGGGCCCAGGUAAGUGUGCUUCACCCCACAGCAGAGUGUAGCAGUGGGCAGCAUCAGGCUCUGUACAUAUGCAAAGUUUAAUAUGAUAUUGAAAUGUUUGCCUAUUUCAGUGAAGCCAGGAGACAGUUUUCAUUGCUUCCCUCUGGGGUCAGUGUAGAAAUGUUGUAAAAAGUUCGAUCCUCAUAGAUUUUAUUAUGGAAUAGUGGCCUUUGGCCUACUGGUAUACUAAAUCCCAAUCCUGUGACCUUCAGGUGGCCCAGUUGCAUCUUUCGUUCCAUCUCUUAAUAGAUGUGCAUGCCAUUUCUCUGGAAGCAACUGUGCUCUGUAGCUCUGGUUGAGAACACAGCUUCCCUCCCUCCCUCCCUCCCUCCCUUUCUCUUCAGAUUUAAAAAUGAAAAUAUAUAAAAUUUAUAUAGAAGAACUAUUUCCAUUCAUUAGAGUUGUUUAAACAGAGACUGAAUUAAUAUUUUGU